rnacentral:lncRNA from 1 species
UGCUUGGCAAUACAUAAGAUGAUGUCCAGCAAGGGAUCGACAACCUGCCUUGACCGGUCAUGUUUUUUCAUUAUCAUCAUGCAAUGCAACAAAGAGGUUGAAAUUGCAGUGGCAUGGAUGGCAUGGAUUCUCUCCUUUUGUUGGUAGUGUCAAAGGCAUGAAAUAGAUGUAGCCAAAGAAUGUUUGACAAUGUUUGAUGCUCCUUGGUACCACUUUCUUGCAUAGCCUAGGCAAAAUUAAGGGAUAUUUUUAUAUUUUGUUGAUUAAUGCUCUGAAUAAAUAUACUUCAAAGUGUUGAUUACUUUUUAGGGUGUUAGUUAAUGUGUAGCACCUAUUGUUGUUCUCUUUAUUUUUGGUGAGGAAUGGUUGUCCCUUGGCUCAGAAGUUCACUUUAGAUUCAAAAGACACAUAAUGUGUAUUUGAGUUUUGGUUUAUAUUUCAAACAAGAGUGGUAUGAUGGUAAUUUUAGUUGCAUCACAUUGGUCCAGAUUUAAAAUAUGUCAGCUAAAUUUCAUAUGUGUUGUUGGAGCGAUAUCUUUAGAAGUUAGUAUGUGAUUCCCUUUACCACAGUUUCUAACUGUUUCAUGCUAUAUCAUGUCAGUAUUAUAUGUCAGAUUAAAAUGGCAAGGUUCUCAGUUCUGAA